CUACCGUGUGCUCUGGGAGAAAGUCCCCGGGC
rnacentral:RNase_MRP_RNA from 1 species